UACAGAGGGUGCAAGCGUUGUUCGGAAUUAUUGGGCGUAAAGGGUGCGUAGGCGGUGCGGUAAGUCUGUAGUGAAAUCUCUGGGCUCAACUCAGAGUCUGCUAUAGAAACUGCCGUGCUCGAGUGUGGGAGAGGUGAGUGGAAUUCCCGGUGUAGCGGUGAAAUGCGUAGAGAUCUGGAAGAACACCAAAGGCGAAGGCAGCAUCCUGGGAAGUUCCUGACGCUCGGGUGCGAAAGCCAGGGGAGCGAACGGG
rnacentral:rRNA from 1 species